rnacentral:rRNA from 1 species
AUUGAACGCUGGCGGCAUGCUUUACACAUGCAAGUCGAACGGUAACAGGUUAAGCUGACGAGUGGCGAACGGGUGAGUAAUGCAUCGGAACGUGCCCGGUCGUGGGGGAUAACGCAGCGAAAGCUGCGCUAAUACCGCAUACGAUCUGAGGUUGAAAGCGGGGGACCGUAAGGCCUCGCGCGAUCGGAGCGGCCGAUGUCAGAUUAGGUAGUUGGUGGGGUAAAGGCUCACCAAGCCGACGAUCUGUAGCUGGUCUGUGAGGACGACCAGCCACACUGGGACUGAGACACGGCCCAGACUCCUACGGGAGGCAGCAGUGGGGAAUUUUGGACAAUGGGCGCAAGCCUGAUCCAGCAAUGCCGCGUGCAGGAAGAAGGCCUUCGGGUUGUAAACUGCCUUUGUACGGAGCGAAAAGGCUCUCUCUAAUACAGGGGGCUCAUGACGGUACCGUAAGAAUAAGCACCGGCUAACUACGUGCCAGCAGCCGCAGUAA